rnacentral:rRNA from 1 species
UACGUAGGUGGCAAGCGUUAUCCGGAUUUAUUGGGCGUAAAGGGUGCGUAGGUGGUUUCUUAAGUCAGAGGUGAAAGGCUACGGCUCAACCGUAGUAAGCCUUUGAAACUGGGGAACUUGAGUGCAGGAGAGGAGAGUGGAAUUCCUAGUGUAGCGGUGAAAUGCGUAGAUAUUAGGAGGAACACCAGUUGCGAAGGCGGCUCUCUGGACUGUAACUGACACUGAGGCACGAAAGCGUGGGGAGCAAACAGG